ensembl:misc_RNA 7SK 7SK RNA
AGAUGUGAGGUGGAUCUGGCUGCAACAUAUCUGUCACUCCAUUGAUUGCCAGGAUCGAUUUGGGUUGAUCUCGCUGUCUAGGUAGGUAUACCCUUCCUCCUUUACUGUUCCAUGAGAGUCCCUCCCAGAGCUAUGUGCUCUGACAAGAGGAGGACCUUCCCCAACAGAGAAGGAUCAUUUUCUGUCAGGGGUAUAGAAGUAGCUGUGCUCACAUGCUAGACCUCCAAACAAGCUCCCAAGUGCUUUCCAAAAUAGCUGUGGUUAAAGAACAGACUUCAUUUUCUCUUCUUAUUAGUAUUUUUUAAAUUUAAUUUAAG